rnacentral:rRNA from 1 species
CCUACGGGUGACAGCAGUGAGGAAUAUUGGUCAAUGGGAGGAAUCCUGAACCAGCCAUGCCGCGUGCAGGACGACGGCUCUACGAGUUGUAAACUGCUUUUGUACCGGGGUAACAUGCCUUGCGUGUAGGGUUUUGAACGUACGCUACGAAUAAGGAUCGGCUCACUCCUUGCCAGCAGCCGCGGUAAUACUGAGGAUCCGAUCGUUAUCCGGAUUCAUUGGGUGUAAAGGGUGCGUAGGUUGUUUUAUAAGUUAGAGGUGAAAUACCGAGGCUCAACAUCGGGGCUGCCGCUAAUACUGGAGGACUAGAGUACGGAUGAGGCAGACGGAAUGCGUAGUGUAGCGGUGAAAUGCAUAGAUAUUACACAGAACACCGAUUGCGAAGGCAGUUUGCUAGGCAGGAACUGACACUGAGGCACGAAAGCGUGGGGAUCGAACAGGAUUAGAUACCCUGGUAGUC